AUUCCAGCUCCAAUAGCGUAUAUUAAAGUUGUUGCAGUUAAAAAGCUCGUAGUUGGAUUUCUGGUUGAAGCGACCGGUCGGGCGUUGAUUCGUCUGCACUGGAGUCGGUUUUGGCCAUCCUCUAGGAAAGUGCGUCUGGUAUUAAGUUGUCGGGCGUAUGAUCCUGGUCUUUUACUGUGAAGAAAUUAGAGUGUUUAAAGCAGGCCUUCGCCUUGAAUACAUUAGCAUGGAAUAAUAAGAUAGGACUUUGGUCUAUUUUGUUGGUUUGCAGACCGAAGUAAUGAUUAAUAGGGAUAGUUGGGGGUAUUUAUAUUCCGAUGUCAGAGGUGAAAUUCUUAGAUUUUCGGAAGAUAAACUUAUGCGAAAGCAUUUACCAAGGAUGUUUUCAUUG
rnacentral:rRNA from 1 species